rnacentral:rRNA from 1 species
AAUGGGCGGAAGCCUGAUCCAGCCAUGCCGCGUGAGUGAAGAAGGCCUUCGGGUUGUAAAGCUCUUUCGGUGGGGAAGAAAUCGCCUGUGCUAAUACCAUAGGCGGAUGACGGUACCCGCAUAAGAAGCACCGGCUAACUACGUGCCAGCAGCCGCGGUAAUACGUAGGGNGCGAGCGUUAAUCGGAAUUACUGGGCGUAAAGCGUGCGCAGGCGGUUGUGUAAGUCAGACGUGAAAUCCCCGGGCUCAACCUGGGAACUGCGUUUGAGACUGCACGGCUAGAGGAUAGCAGAGGGGGGUAGAAUUCCACGUGUAGCAGUGAAAUGCGUAGAGAUGUGGAGGAAUACCGAUGGCGAAGGCAGCCCCCUGGGCUAUUACUGACGCUCAUGCACGAAAGCGUGGGGAGCAAA